rfam:Oryza glumipatula chromosome 3, whole genome shotgun sequence.
AAAAAGAUAAACUCUGGUUUCCGUGUCCAACGUUUGGCCGUCCAUCUUAUUUAAAAAAAUUAUAAAAAAAUUAAAAAGAUAAGUCACGCAUAAAGUAUUAAUCAUGUUUUAUCAUCUAACAACAAUGAAAAUACUAAUUAUAAAAAAAAAUUUAUAUAAGACGGGUAGUUGGCACGAAAACCCAAGGUUUGCUUUUUU